rnacentral:rRNA from 1 species
GGGUUGUGAGGUUAAGCGACUAAGCGUACACGGUGGAUGCCCUGGCAGUCAGAGGCGAUGAAGGGCGUGCUAAUCUGCGAUAAGCGCCGGUAAGGUGAUAUGAACCGUUAUAACCGGCGAUACCCGAAUGGGGAAACCCAGUGUGACUCGUCACACUAUCAUUAACUGAAUCCAUAGGUUAAUGAGGCGAACCGGGGGAACUGAAACAUCUAAGUACCCCGAGGAAAAGAAAUCAACCGAGAUUCCCCCAGUAGCGGCGAGCGAACGGGGAGGAGCCCAGAGCCUGAAUCAGCAUGUGUGUUAGUGGAAGCGUCUGGAAAGGCGCGCGAUACAGGGUGACAGCCCCGUACACAAAAGCGCAUGUGCUGUGAGCUCGAUGAGUAGGGCGGGACACGUGGUAUCCUGUCUGAAUAUGGGGGGACCAUCCUCCAAGGCUAAAUACUCCUGACUGACCGAUAGUGAACCAGUACCGUGAGGGAAAGGCGAAAAGAACCCCGGCGAGGGGAGUGAAAAAGAACCUGAAACCGUGUACGUACAAGCAGUGGGAGCACAGGUUUACCUGUGUGACUGCGUACCUUUUGUAUAAUGGGUCAGCGACUUAUAUUCUGUAGCAAGGUUAACCGAAUAGGGGAGCCGGAGGGAAACCGAGUCUUAAUUGGGCGUUAAGUUGCAGGGUAUAGACCCGAAACCCGGUGAUCUAGCCAUGGGCAGGUUGAAGGUUGGGUAACACUAACUGGAGGACCGAACCGACUAAUGUUGAAAAAUUAGCGGAUGACCUGUGGCUGGGGGUGAAAGGCCAAUCAAACCGGGAGAUAGCUGGUUCUCCCCGAAAGCUAUUUAGGUAGCGCCUCGUGAAUUCAUCUCCGGGGGUAGAGCACUGUUUCGGCUAGGGGGCCAUCCCGGCUUACCAACCCGAUGCAAACUGCGAAUACCGGAGAAUGUUAUCACGGGAGACACACGGCGGGUGCUAACGUCCGUCGUGAAGAGGGAAACAACCCAGACCGCCAGCUAAGGUCCCAAAGUCAUGGUUAAGUGGGAAACGAUGUGGGAAGGCCCAGACAGCCAGGAUGUUGGCUUAGAAGCAGCCAUCAUUUAAAGAAAGCGUAAUAGCUCACUGGUCGAGUCGGCCUGCGCGGAAGAUGUAACGGGGCUAAACCAUGCACCGAAGCUGCGGCAGCGACGCUGAUGCGUUGUUGGGUAGGGGAGCGUUCUGUAAGCCUGCGAAGGUGGCCUGUGAGGGUUGCUGGAGGUAUCAGAAGUGCGAAUGCUGACAUAAGUAACGAUAAAGCGGGUGAAAAGCCCGCUCGCCGGAAGACCAAGGGUUCCUGUCCAACGUUAAUCGGGGCAGGGUGAGUCGACCCCUAAGGCGAGGCCGAAAGGCGUAGUCGAUGGGAAACGGGUUAAUAUUCCCGUACUUGGUGUUACUGCGAAGGGGGGACGGAGAAGGCUAUGUUGGCCGGGCGACGGUU